GUCUUAGAUGCAUGAUUUUUUUUAUAAGUUGUUAGUGGCUUUGAACUAGCUGUCAGAUAACUGCGAGUACUCUCAGAUCUGUUCAUUGCGUCUUUUUGUGUCGGGAUGUAUAAGUACCCGGCCACAACCACUUGUAUUUUUGUCCAUCUGAUGAGUUAAACCUUUUUCAACUGAUUUUUAUAGUUCGUUCUUAUGUUGUACUGUUAAUACACUGUCCAGGUUAGGGGAGGGUUGGGAUCCCGCUUACAUGUUUAACCCCGCCACAUUAUUUAUGUAUGUGACUGUCCCAAGUCAGGAGCCUGUAAUUCAGUGGUUGUCGUUUGUUUAUGUGUUACAUAUUUGUUUUUCGUUCAUUUUUUUUUACAUAAAUAAGGCCGUUAGUUUUCUCGUUUGAAUUGUUUUACAUUGUCUUAUCGGGGCCUAUUAUAGCUGACUAUGCGGUAUGGGCUUUGCUCAUUGUUGAAGGCCGUACGGUGAACUAUAGUUGUUAAUGUCUG
rnacentral:lncRNA from 1 species